rnacentral:rRNA from 1 species
UACAGGGGGUGCAAACGUUGCUCGGAAUCAUUGGGCGUAAAGAGCUCGUAGGCGGUCUGUUGCGUCGGCUGUGAAAACCCGGGGCUCAACUCCGGGCCUGCAGCCGAUACGGGCAGACUAGAGUUCGGCAGGGGAGACUGGAAUUCCUGGUGUAGCGGUGAAAUGCGCAGAUAUCAGGAGGAACACCGGUGGCGAAGGCGGGUCUCUGGGCCGAUACUGACGCUGAGGAGCGAAAGCGUGGGGAGCGAACAGG